GAUGAACGCUGGCGGCGUGCCUAAUACAUGCAAGUCGAGCGAACAGACGAGGAGCUUGCUCCUCUGACGUUAGCGGCGGACGGGUGAGUAACACGUGGAUAACCUACCUAUAAGACUGGGAUAACUUCGGGAAACCGGAGCUAAUACCGGAUAACAUGUUGAACCGCAUGGUUUAACAGUGAAAGACGGUCUUGCUGUCACUUAUAGAUGGAUCCGCGCCGCAUUAGCUAGUUGGUAAGGUAACGGCUUACCAAGGCAACGAUGCGUAGCCGACCUGAGAGGGUGAUCGGCCACACUGGAACUGAGACACGGUCCAGACUCCUACGGGAGGCAGCAGUAGGGAAUCUUCCGCAAUGGGCGAAAGCCUGACGGAGCAACGCCGCGUGAGUGAAGAAGGUCUUCGGAUCGUAAAACUCUGUUAUUAGGGAAGAGCAAAUGUGUAAGUAACUAUGCACGUCUUGACGGUACCUAAUCAGAAAGCCACGGCUAACUACGUG
rnacentral:rRNA from 1 species